GCAGAGCACUCCUAGGGAGGCAGCAUGGGGAAUAUUGCACAAUGGGCGCAAGCCUGAUGCAGCCAUGCCGCGUGUAUGAAGAAGGCCUUCGGGUUGUAAAGUACUUUCAGCAGUGAGGAAGGUGGAUAUGUUAAUAGCAUAUUCAUUUGACGUUAGCUGCAGAAGAAGCACCGGCUAACUCCGUGCCAGCAGCCGCGGUAAUACGGAGGGUGCGAGCGUUAAUCGGAAUUACUGGGCGUAAAGCGCAUGCAGGUGGUUUGUUAAGUCAGAUGUGAAAGCCCGGGGCUCAACCUCGGAAUUGCAUUUGAAACUGGCAAACUAGAGUACUGUAGAGGGGGUAGAAUUUCAGGUGUAGCGGUGAAAUGCGUAGAGAUCUGAAGGAAUACCGGUGGCGAAGGCGGCCCCCUGGACAGAUACUGACACUCAGAUGCGAAAGCGUGGGGAGCAAACAGGAUUAGAUACCCUGGUAG
rnacentral:rRNA from 1 species